GGCUCUGUGGCCUAAUGGAUAAGGCGUCGGUCUCCUAAACCAAAGAUUCAAGGUCCGAGUCCUUGCUGGGUGG
rnacentral:tRNA from 1 species